CAGCCCCUCGAGUGGUGGGGAUGAUUAUUUGGCCUAAAGCGUCCGUAGCCGGCCGUGUAAGUCUCCCGUUAAAUCCAGCGUCUCAAGCGUUGGACUGCGGGAGAUACUGUACGGCUAGAGAGUGGGAGAGGUCAGCGGUAUUCUGGGGGUAGGGGCGAAAUCCUUUGAUCCCCGGAGGACCACCAGUGGCGAAGGCUGCUGACUAGAACACGUCUGACGGUCAGGGACGAAAGCUGGGGUAGCGAACCGGAUUAGAUACCCGCGUAGUCC
rnacentral:rRNA from 1 species